rnacentral:rRNA from 1 species
GACGGAGGGUGCAAGCGUUGUUCGGAAUUACUGGGCGUAAAGCGUGCGCAGGCGGUUCGUUAAGUCAGCUGUGAAAGCCCCGGGCUCAACCUGGGAAUGGCGGUUGAAACUGGCGAACUUGAAUCUGGCAGAGGGGGGUGGAAUUCCACGUGUAGCAGUGAAAUGCGUAGAGAUGUGGAGGAACACCGAUGGCGAAGGCAGCCCCCUGGGCUGAGAUUGACGCUCAGGCACGAAAGCGUGGGGAGCAAACAGG